GAUGAACGCUGGCGGCGUGCCUAACACAUGCAAGUCGAACGGAGUUAUUAUUAUGAAGUUUUCGGAUGGAUUAACAAUAACUUAGUGGCGGACGGGUGAGUAACGCGUGGGUAACCUGGCUCAUACAGGGGGAUAACAGUUGGAAACGGCUGCUAAAACCGCAUAACAUUGCGAUGUCGCAUGACACUGCAAUUAAAUAUUGAUAGGUAUGAGAUGGGCCCGCGUCUGAUUAGCUAGUUGGUGGGGUAAUGGCCUACCAAGGCGACGAUCAGUAGCCGGCUUGAGAGAGUGACCGGCCACAUUGGGACUGAGACACGGCCCAAACUCCUACGGGAGGCAGCAGUGGGGAAUAUUGCACAAUGGGGGAAACCCUGAUGCAGCGACGCCGCGUGAGUGAAGAAGUAUUUCGGUAUGUAAAGCUCUAUCAGCAGGGAAGAAAAUGACGGUACCCGACUAAGAAGCCCCGGCUAACUACGUGCCAGCCGCCGCCGUAA
rnacentral:rRNA from 1 species